rnacentral:rRNA from 1 species
AUUGAACGCUGGCGGCAGGCUUAACACAUGCAAGUCGAACGAGUGGCGGACGGGUGAGUAAUGCGUGGGAAUCUCGCUUAUGGAGGGGGUUAACUACGGGAAAAGGUAGCUAAUACCGCGUACCAUAGGAUGAGCCCAUGUGGGAUUAGGUAGUUGGUGGGGUAAAGGCUCACCAAGCAGACGAUGUCUAGCUGGUCUGCGAGGAUGACCAGCCAAACUGGGACUGUGACACGGCCCAAAGUCCUACGGGAGGAAGCGGUGGGGAAUAGUGCGCAAUGGGGGAAACCUGAAGCAGCCAUGCCGCGUGAAUGAAGAAGGCCUGCAGGUUGUAAAGUUCUUUCGGUAGCGAGGCGUUAACUACAGAAGAAGCACCGGCUAACUCCGUGCCAGCAGCCGCGGUAAUUC